ACCUAAUGAUGCAAAGCAGAAUAAGACAUAAUGCUGCUCUUUUUCAGCCUACUAUUCUGGAGAGACACGUGACCAAGUAGCUUUAACACAUUGGGGUAGAAUGGUCAAGCCUGUAUGUUCAGACUUCUGGACAACUUUGCCUCUGGAGUUGUUUCAUGGCUUUUUGGUUCAGCGUUGGAAAAAAAAAAAAAAAAGAGGAAGUUGCCAGUUAUUCAGAAGAAAUCCUUUACCCAGGUUCUGCAUUGGCAAGGAGCUAGGUCACAGUCACCAUCAUCUUAAGCCAUUUUACUAAGGCUGAGUCCAGGGUACCGGACCACUAAGAGGCCUUCAGCUGCUGAAGAGAUAAUGAGCUUCCCAAAGCCUCCGCAAGGUGGUGGCUCAACCCUGCCCAGAUUGGAAGAGCCAUUCUGGCUGCUGAGAACGGCGUAAGAACCUGCUGAACCCACAAGACUCACAGAAGGUGAAGUCAAGGGCUCUCAGACUCAUAAGGUUACUAGGACACCAGACUGGCACCCCAAAGGAGAACUUUACGGAGACUUACAACACAGCAACAAGUUAGAAGGGGAUAAAAACAAACAAACAAACAAACAAAACCUUUAACACUCACCAACCCCAAGCACGGAGCUGAGGGAAACAUUCUGACCUGCACAGGCAGACUGCAGGCUGGAUGGAGAGCUGGCUGAGGAGGACAUCUGGAGAGUGAAGGUUAAGUACCAGCUGGGAUUUUUGUGCCUGCAGAUUCUUUUUGGCUUUUUAGAUAAUAAGCAUCAAAUUCUGUGUGUCUGUAUAACAGUUUUUCUAGCAGUUUAUUGGAAGGUGGAUGUAUUUGAGGUUAAAGUCUACAAAGAGAAGGUAACUCCUAGGGAAGGAAGAAGGAGAGAGGAAAGAAAAUUAGAAGCUAAGAUUCUUUGUAAUGACUUCAGGUAGUGAGCGGUAUGUGUUUGUGAGUGAGUGUGUAUUUGACAGGCUUUGGCUCAUGCCCAUGUGUCCCUCUUCUAGUAUCAGUGAGGGGAGGGGCUAUUGAAGAAAGAAAAAAAGAAAAAGAAAGAAACCUGAGCUCUCUGGAAGAAAUUCAUAGGAACGCAGAGAAACGAACUUCAUUCUGCAAGGACUAAACUAGAGCAAGGAGAGAGAG